GCUGCAUCAAGGCUCCAAUCACACUGCUAAACAACAUUCAAAAGCCCUCAAUCCUAACACUUUGAACAUGUCAGACAAUCAACCAGCACGCAGGACUGCGUCUUCUAGAGAGGGAAUGGGUGGCGCUAAGGGAAGAAAGGGUUCUUCAAAGAAGGAGGUGAAGGAGGUGAAGGAGAA